rnacentral:rRNA from 1 species
CCAGACUCCUACGGGAGGCAGCAGUGGGGAAUAUUGGACAAUGGGGGGAACCCUGAUUCAGCGACGCCGCGUGAGUGAAGAAAUAUUUCGGUAUGUAAAGCUCUAUCAGCAGGGAAGAAAGAAAUGACGGUACCUGACUAAGAAGCCCCGGCUAACUACGUGCCAGCAGCCGCGGUAAUACGUAGGGGGCAAGCGUUAUCCGGAUUUACUGGGUGUAAAGGGAGCGUAGACGGCAGUGCAAGUCUGAAGUGAAAGGCGGGGGCCCAACCCCCGGACUGCUUUGGAAACUGUGCUGCUGGAGUGCAGGAGAGGCAAGUGGAAUUCCUAGUGUAGCGGUGAAAUGCGUAGAUAUUAGGAGGAACACCGGUGGCGAAGGCGGCCUGCUGGACUGCAACUGACGUUGAGGCCCGAAAGCGUGGGGAGCAAACAGGAUUAGAUACGCGUA